CAUUCAAAGAUCAGAAAUCUCCACAUAGACUGAGAUUUAGAACUGAGUACCAGAAGUGAUAAAAUGAAGACUUUACUGGGACUAUUCCUAUCACUGGCAUGGCUAUCAGGUGUAAAGUGUGAUCCUCAACUGACCCAAUCCGACCCAGCGGUGAUAAAGCCGGGGAACUCCCACACACUGACCUGUACAGGUUCGGGGUACAACUUUGGUGGCUAUACUAUGCACUGGAUCAGACAGUUCUCUGAUGGAAAGCUACAAUGGUUGUGUUAUAUAUACAGCACUAGCAUACAAUAUAAUGAUGAUGUUAAAGGAAGAUUCACAGUCACUAGAGAUGACAGCAAUAACAAGGUGUCUCUGAAAAUGGACAACAUGAAAACUGAAGACACUGCCGUGUAUUACUGUGCAAGAUACACAGUGAUGGAAAAUAUAUCUUUCCUUCAACAAUAA